CAGGACCGGGCACUUACAGGAUGACAGACUGAGGCAUCGUCGUCCUUCUUUUUCUUGCAUUUUCACAAAGCAUGUACCCAGGAGGAAGUUAAAGAACAGAAAUGAUUCUACUGCAAAGCUAUACAGGACACCUAAAACCAACGGGACUGAAAUGUAUUGUACAUAUGUCUCAACAACCUGAGGGCAUUACUCUGGAUGCAGCAAACUGGAAACGCUAAUACAAGCUUCACACCUCAGGAGUGCUACAUUAAUAAGAAAGAGAAACCAGAGGAAGAACUGCAAAAGAAAUCCCAAUGGAAGCCAAGAAGCUGCUCAACAAGACCGACAGGUUCACUGUAAUGUAGACCAAAACGCCAACAGGAUCGGGCCCAGACGCAGACCGGCUGAAGAGAGCUGCAGUCCCCUGAGGAGGCCUGCUCCAUGGCAGUCGCACUACACUUGGACCUAACAGACACCUUGACACAAUGUUCAACAGAGACCUGACACUAUAGAGGAAUCUAUGGAAGAAUCCCAUAAUGGUAAAAAUGGCAGCUGUUCCACCACUGCACCCAACGAGCUUGUUACAGUCAAACAGCAGCAGUGCACGGGCUCAGCAGAGGUUC